AUUCAAUCGCGGUGAUUACACUC
rnacentral:snRNA from 1 species